rnacentral:lncRNA from 1 species
AAAAGAAUUGUUUUUAAUUCUAUUAUAGUGUGUUUUUUUCCAAGCCACCAUUACAAGGUAUUUGUAAUAGGCCAAAUUCGUCUGGCCCAAAUCAAACCAAAAAAGAGGUCAUUAAUUAUCAAGGUCCAUUUACAUAAAAAAACAAGCCUAAUCUACUAACCCUAAGCCCUAAAAGCCCAAUAAUUUGAAGCCCAAAACCCACUAUCCUAAACCCAAAUUGAAAAAAUAAAAAAACCUUAAUCCCUCCAAUCGCUACCUCUACCAUGUCCACAAACACGCCUCUCGAAGUCCCCACACCUCUUCUACCACCAUUUCACCGAAAUGGCAAAGUAUGGCUCCCCAGCACAGUUGACAGCCCCGAACACCUGCAAAAAAAGAAAAAAAACAGAAACAGAGAGCAAAAUAGAGGACAGAACAGAAAAGCAGUGAAAGAAAAAAACAAAAAAAAAUAUUUUGUAAUUGAUUUGAAUAUAAAAGCUAAACAAAAACUCUUUGUAAAAUAAAAGAGAAGAAAUCAAAUAUAUAAAAAAAGAAGAAAAA